AAUGAACGUUGGCGGCGUGGAUUAGGCAUGCAAGUCGUGCGAGAACCGUAGCAAUACGGGGACAGCGGCGAAAGGGAGAGUAAUGCGUGGAUACCUACCUCCAGGACCAGGAUAGCCGCGGGAAACUGCGGGUAAUACUGGAUAAUAUCUCCGGAUCAAAGGUGUGAUUCCGCCCGGGGAUGGGUCCGCGUCCUAUUAGCUAGUUGGCAGGGUAAUGGCCUACCAAGGCAAAGAUGGGUAUGGGGCGUGAGAGCGUGCCCCCACUCACUGGGACUGAGACACUGCCCAGACACCUGCGGGUGGCUGCAGUCGAGGAUCUUCGGCAAUGGGCGCAAGCCUGACCGAGCGACGCCGCGUGUGGGAUGAAGGCCUUCGGGUUGUAAACCACUGUUAGAGGGGAUGAAAUGCAGGUGGGUUCUCCCAUCUGUUUGACAUAGCCUCAGAGGAAGGACGGGCUAAGUUCGUGCCAGCCGCCGCCGUAAAAC
rnacentral:rRNA from 1 species